GGUUCAAUUACCCAAUCAGGUUUUCCUAUCGUGUUAACUUACUGUUGCACUCUGUUUGAGUGUAGUAGUGGGGGAUACCGACAGGCGGUCUGCGUCUCUUUCUUG
ensembl:ncRNA Y105C5A.1284 ncRNA